GCUGGCGGCAGGCCUAACACAUGCAAGUCGAGCGCGCCUUCGGGCGAGCGGCGGACGGGUUAGUAACGCGUGGGAACGUGCCCAGAUCUACGGAAUAGCCACUGGAAACGGUGAGUAAUACCGUAUACGCCCUUCGGGGGAAAGAUUUAUCGGAUUUGGAUCGGCCCGCGUUAGAUUAGGUAGUUGGUGGGGUAACGGCCUACCAAGCCUACGAUCUAUAGCUGGUUUUAGAGGAUGAUCAGCAACACUGGGACUGAGACACGGCCCAGACUCCUACGGGAGGCAGCAGUGGGGAAUCUUGGACAAUGGGGGCAACCCUGAUCCAGCCAUGCCGCGUGAGUGAAGAAGGCCCUAGGGUCGUAAAACUCUUUCGCCUGUGAUGAUAAUGACAGUAGCAGGUAAAGAAACCCCGGCUAA
rnacentral:rRNA from 1 species